rnacentral:rRNA from 1 species
GACGUAGGAUGCAAGCGUUGUCCGGAUUUAUUGGGCGUAAAGCGCACGUAGGCGGCCGACUAAGUCGGGUGUGAAAGCCCAGGGCUCAACCCUGGAAGUGCACUCGAAACUGACCGGCUUGAAUAUGGAAGAGGGUCGCGGAAUUCCCGGUGUAGAGGUGAAAUUCGUAGAUAUCGGGAGGAACACCAGUGGCGAAGGCGGCGACCUGGGCCAAUAUUGACGCUGAGGUGCGAAAGCGUGGGGAGCAAACAGG